rnacentral:rRNA from 1 species
GACGAACGCUGGCGGCGUGCCUAAUACAUGCAAGUUGAGCGCUGAAGGUUGGUACUUGUACCAACUGGAUGAGCAGCGAACGGGUGAGUAACGCGUGGGGAAUCUGCCUUUGAGCGGGGGACAACAUUUGGAAACGAAUGCUAAUACCGCAUAAAAACUUUAAACACAAGUUUUAAGUUUGAAAGAUGCAAUUGCAUCACUCAAAGAUGAUCCCGCGUUGUAUUAGCUAGUUGGUGAGGUAAAGGCUCACCAAGGCGAUGAUACAUAGCCGACCUGAGAGGGUGAUCGGCCACAUUGGGACUGAGACACGGCCCAAACUCCUACGGGAGGCAGCAGUAGGGAAUCUUCGGCAAUGGACGAAAGUCUGACCGAGCAACGCCCGCGUGAGUGAAAGAAAGGUUUUCGGA